UUUUUUCAGGCUGGCCUUGCUCUUGGGGAUCUUAAGUCAGUCAAGGACCUCUACGAUUUUAAAACAUUAUUUGUGCUUUUCCUUAUUGGUUCAGUGAUUAUAUUUCCAACACUUUUGAAGAGAAAGCGAAUCUAUGAAUGAAAGUUCUGUUGGCUACUUGAAAGCAUUCUUUACUAGGUAUGUUAGAGAGUUAAAAUGAUGCUUGGAAAGAUGUGUAAAAUGUGUAUGGACUUCACAUUGCUUUACGCGUGUCACGAUGAUAAGCUCCGUAAAAUGUUCUUACAAUUAUAUAGCAAAUCUCAAAGAAUCUACUAGGCUUAUGUUGGAGGUAAA